AACCUUAUGGACCUGCGGGCGUAUACCUGCGGAGGGAUCAUUACCGAGUUUACAACUCCCAAACCCCUGUGAACAUACCACUUGUUGCCUCGGCGGAUCAGCCCGCUCCCGGUAAAACGGGACGGCCCGCCAGAGGACCCCUAAACUCUGUUUCUAUAUGUAACUUCUGAGUAAAACCAUAAAUAAAUCAAAACUUUUAACAACGGAUCU
rnacentral:misc_RNA from 1 species